GAUGAACGCUGGCGGCGUGCCUAAUACAUGCAAGUCGAGCGAACGGACGAGAAGCUUGCUUCUCUGAUGUUAGCGGCGGACGGGUGAGUAACACGUGGAUAACCUACCUAUAAGACUGGGAUAACUUCGGGAAACCGUAGCUAAUACCGGAUAAUAUUUUGAACCGCAUGGUUCAAAAGCGAAAGACGGUCUUGCUGUCACUUAUAGAUGGAUCCGCGCUGCAUUAGCUAGUUGGUAAGGUAACGGCUUACCAAGGCAACGAUGCAUAGCCGACCUGAGAGGGUGAUCGGCCACACUGGAACUGAGACACGGUCCAGACCCCUACGGGAGGCAGCAGUAGGGAAUCUUCCGCAAUGGGCGAAAGCCUGACGGAGCAACGCCGCGUGAGUGAUGAAGGUCUUCGGAUCGUAAAACUCUGUUAUUAGGGAAGAACAUAUGUGUAAGUAACUGUGCACAUCUUGACGGUACCUAAUCAGAAAGCCACGGCUAACUACGUG
rnacentral:rRNA from 1 species